AUCAGCCAUGCCGCGUGUGUGAAGAAGGCCUUUUGGUUGUAAAGCACUUUAAGCGAGGAGGAGGCUACUUAGAUUAAUACUCUAGGAUAGUGGACGUUACUCGCAGAAUAAGCACCGGCUAACUCUGUGCCAGCAGCCGCGGUAAUACAGAGGGUGCGAGCGUUAAUCGGAUUUACUGGGCGUAAAGCGUGCGUAGGCGGCUUUUUAAGUCGGAUGUGAAAUCCCUGAGCUUAACUUAGGAAUUGCAUUCGAUACUGGGAAGCUAGAGUAUGGGAGAGGAUGGUAGAAUUCCAGGUGUAGCGGUGAAAUGCGUAGAGAUCUGGAGGAAUACCGAUGGCGAAGGCAGCCAUCUGGCCUAAUACUGACGCUGAGGUACGAAAGCAUGGGGAGCAAACAGGAUUAGAUACCCUGGUAGUCCAUGCCGUAAACGAUGUCUACUAGCCGUUGGGGCCUUUGAGGCUUUAGUGGCGCAGCUAACGCGAUAAGUAGACCGCCUGGGGAGUACGGUCGCAAGACUAAAACUCAAAUGAAUUGACGGGGGCCCGCACAAGCGGUGGAGCAUGUGGUUUAAUUCGAUGCAACGCGAAGAACCUUACCUGGUCUUGACAUAGUAAGAACUUUCCAGAGAUGGAUUGGUGCCUUCGGGAACUUACAUACAGGUGCUGCAUGGCUGUCGUCAGCUCGUGUCGUGAGAUGUUGGGUUAAGUCCCGCAACGAGCGCAACCCUUUUCCUUAUUUGCCAGCGGGUUAAGCCGGGAACUUUAAGGAUACUGCCAGUGACAAACUGGAGGAAGGCGGGGACGACGUCAAGUCAUCAUGGCCCUUACGACCAGGGCUACACACGUGCUACAAUGGUCGGUACAAAGGGUUGCUACCUAGCGAUAGGAUGCUAAUCUCAAAAAGCCGAUCGUAGUCCGGAUUGGAGUCUGCAACUCGACUCCAUGAAGUCAGAAUCGCUAGUAAUCGCGGAUCAGAAUGCCGCGGUGAAUACGUUCCCGGGCCUUGUACACACCGCCCGUCACACCAUGGGAAUUUGUUGCACCAGAAGUAGGUAGUCUAACCGCAAGGAGGACGCUUACCACGGGGGCCGAUGACUGGGGA
rnacentral:rRNA from 1 species